GAUGAACGCUGGCGGCGUGCCUAAUACAUGCAAGUCGAGCGAACGGACGAGAAGCUUGCUUCUCUGAUGUUAGCGGCGGACGGGUGAGUAACACGUGGAUAACCUACCUAUAAGACUGGGAUAACUUCGGGAAACCGGAGCUAAUACCGGAUAAUAUUUUGAACCGCAUGGUUCAAAAGUGAAAGACGGUCUUGCUGUCACUUAUAGAUGGAUCCGCGCUGCAUUAGCUAGUUGGUAAGGUAACGGCUUACCAAGGCAACGAUGCAUAGCCGACCUGAGAGGGUGAUCGGCCACACUGGAACUGAGACACGGUCCAGACUCCUACGGGAGGCAGCAGUAGGGAAUCUUCCGCAAUGGGCGAAAGCCUGACGGAGCAACGCCGCGUGAGUGAUGAAGGUCUUCGGAUCGUAAAACUCUGUUAUUAGGGAAGAACAUAUGUGUAAGUAACUGUGCACAUCUUGACGGUACCUAAUCAGAAAGCCCCGGCUAACUACGUG
rnacentral:rRNA from 1 species